rnacentral:rRNA from 1 species
GUAGCAUUAGCUAGUUGGUAGGGUAACGGCCUACCAAGGCUACGAUGCUUAGGGGACCUGAGAGGGUGUACCCCCACACUGGUACUGAGACACGGACCAGACUCCUACGGGAGGCAGCAGUGAGGAAUAUUGGUCAAUGGGCGGAAGCCUGAACCAGCCAUCCCGCGUGCAGGAAGAAGGCGCUAAGCGUUGUAAACUGCUUUUGCAGGGGAAGAAACUUCCGGUUGCGACCGGGACUGACGGUACCCUGUGAAUAAGCAUCGGCUAACUCCGUGCCAGCAGCCGCGGUAAUACGGAGGAUGCGAGCGUUAUCCGGAUUCACUGGGUUUAAAGGGUGCGUAGGCGGGCUGAUAAGUCAGUGGUGAAAUUUUACAGCUUAACUGUAAACGUGCCAUUGAUACUGUCAGUCUUGAGUGUGGUCAAGGUAGGCGGAAUGUGUAAUGUAGCGGUGAAAUGCUUAGAUAUUACACAGAACACCGAUUGCGAAGGCAGCUUACUGGGCCACCACUGACGCUGAGGCACGAAAGCGUGGGGAGCAAACAGGAUUAGAUACCCUGGUAGUCCACGCUGUAAACGAUGAUCACUCGCUGUUGGCGAUAUACUGUCAGUGGCUAAGCGAAAGCAUUAAGUG